rnacentral:rRNA from 1 species
AACGAACGCUGGCGGCAUGCCUAACACAUGCAAGUCGAACGAGACCUUCGGGUCUAGUGGCGCACGGGUGCGUAACGCGUGGGAACCUGCCCUUAGGUUCGGAAUAACUCCCCGAAAGGGGUGCUAAUACCGGAUAAUGUCUUCGGACCAAAGAUUUAUCGCCUUUGGAUGGGCCCGCGUUGGAUUAGCUAGUUGGUAGGGUAAAAGCCUACCACGGCGACGAUCCAUAGCUGGUCUGAGAGGAUGAUCCGCCACACUGGGACUGAGACACGGCCCAGACUCCUACGGGAGGCAGCAGUGGGGAAUAUUGGACAGUGGGCGAAAGCCUGAUCCAGCAAGGCCGCGUGAGUGAUGAAGGCCUUAGGGUUGUAAAGCUCUUUUACCCGGGAUGAUAAUGACAGUACCGGGAGAAUAAGCUCCGGCUAACUCCGUG